rnacentral:lncRNA from 1 species
UUAAAUCGUAACUUAUUUUUCCCCAAAUCAUCAUCUCUUUUUGGCUUUUACUCUCACCUAUUUCAAAGGACCAAGCUUCCCCGCUACGAUUGGUCGGGGCUAAUUCUUGAAAGCAGCAACUCCUACACCUACCACUACUUUAACAGAACAACUAUCGAUUCUCCCCCAAUUCCUUUUUAUUUCAAGGUAAUCUAAUAAACUAUUUUCUUUUCUUUUUUCGAUUUUGUUUUCUAAAUUUUUGUUUUAAUUCUUGAUUUUUUUCUGUUUUUCAUUUCUGAAAUUUUGUUGGAACCAAAUUUCCAUUGUUUAAUAUGUUCAUUUUGCUGCUCUGGGUUUUUCCCCCUUAAUUUUUUUACGUAUUUUCUUUGUUAAUUGCAUUGAUUUUAGUUAAGUUAGAGCUGAAUUUGUUGUUGUUUUUAAUCUAAUUGUACCUAUGUUUAAUUCCUUUUUCGCCUUUGGUAUUGAAAUUCCCCUCUUUCUAGGGAUUUGAUGUUAUUGUUGGAUUAAUGUUCUGGCUAUGAAUAAUUUCUUGUGUCAAGCUUUAGAAUUAGUACAAUAUUAGUACAAUACACGGUGAGGAAUAAUUAUGAUCAGAAUCAAAUAAUUACAAUGCAUUGUUGGAUUUGUUUUAAUUAUUAGACAUUAAUUUAUAAUUUCAUCACUCUUAAAGGAUUAAACAUUUUAUUAAGGACAAAAUUUUAAAAAAAAAAACACUUACAUUUUUUAUUUUUCCUUUAAGAUUUACAAUUAAAAAAUUAGGUCGGGGAAGUUCAGUAGUAAAUGGAAUUGAAUUAUUAGGAGAGUCCAUUUCUUUUUCUUUUCUUUUUAGCCCAAGUCCCAUAAUAAUAAAGACUUAAUUGAUGAUUUAUGAGUCACUAUGUUGUAGUAAGGCUAAUACUAGCUACUGAAUGGUUGCUCAUUAUUUGCUUCAUUUUGUUUUUUAAGUUUUAAUCUGAUUUAAGUUUACUUCGGUACCUAGUACUUUUUGGUUUGAUCAAAUAAUAGUGUUAUACUAAUUAAUUAUAUGGUAAACUGCAUCAUUACUUAUUAAAUUAUGAGUAAAUUUUUAUUUUGGUCACUUAACUAAAAUAAAGUUAUAAUUUGGUAAAUGGUUGUGUUUUUGAAUCAUCAGAUUUUCAAGAUCGACUUUUUUUUACUAUUAUCAAGUAGGUUGCUAGUUCGUACUUGUCAUAUGAAAUUUGACAAUUUACCUAAGGAAAUGUUGUUAUUUUAGGUCUUGUCAUUAGGGGUGUCCAAAUUUUGGGUAAAAUCGAAUUAAUUCGGUUAACUGACCGAAUUCGAUUAAUCGGUUGGUUAACCAAAUUAAUUCGAUUGGGGGCCGAUUAAUAAUUUUUUAGAUGUUCGGUUAACAGUUAAUUCGGUCUGAAAUCGGUCGGUUAACCGAAUUAACCUAAUUUAAUAAAGAAUAUUAUUAUAUAUAUGUAUUCGGUCAGUUCGGUUAAUUUUUUGGAAAUAUAAAUUAAUCGGUCAGUUAAGUCGGUUAAUCUUUUAUAUGUUUUAUACUUGUUUUAACCAAAAAUAAAGAAAUAUAUAUAUAAUUUUUGGUUAAUCAGUUAAUCAACCGAAUUAAUCGAAAAAGUUUGGUUCGGUUAAUUUUUUUUUGAAAAAAUUUCGGUUCGGUUAACGGUUAAGGGUUUAAAAAGGUCGGUUAAUUUGAUUAAUGUUAGUUCGGUCUGUUAACCGGUUGGUUAACUGAUUAAACACCCCUACUUAUCAUGUGAGUCUUAUUUUCGUUUUUUUCUUUCUAUUUGUGGCUGAAUCUGAGGGUUAAAACAGUAAAUGUUAUUAGCUAAUAGUAAUAGAUGCCUAUGGUCUUGUGAGUGCUAGCUUGGUAUCAUGUUGAAUGUUGUAAAUGAUUUAUGAACCAAGGAGAAAUCAUGGCAUCUUAAUCAUCUGUAUGGUCUCACUAUUGUUUGUUACUUCUUGAAAAUCUAUAUGGCCAUCCAUUGUAGAGUGUCAAAUGAACUUAAUACAAAUUUACGGAAUCAUAUAAAUGGUAUAGACACAAAUCUAUCAAAAGUACAUCAGAAAAAUGAUUUGUUUUCCUAUGUUAUGAUUUUACACUAGUGUGGACUAAAUUUGGUGAAUACUGAAUGUUAUCUUUCUUGGGACAUAUAUUUUCACUACUGUGAAGCUUGCUUCUUCAUUUCCGCUUGCAUAUCACCAUGUGAAUAGAAUACUAAUAUUUAGAUAAGAGAUCAUAAGCUUGCAUGUUAGAACUUUGUGGUCACAAACAUACUCAAAAAGCAUUACUUGAAAACUUAUGUCUUAUGCAUGUUACAGUUGUGUACAGAAAUUUUGCUUUCUUCUACAAGGGGAACCUCUGUGUUUUUAUUACCUAAUUUUUUAACUAUUCUUGUUUUAGCAGUUAUAUGACAUUUUUUUUAACUAUUCUUGUUAUACGGGAUCCCUACAAAAGAAGUGUUCGAUAGGCUCAUUUGAAUUGCCUAAUCAAACAACUCCAUUUUAAUCUCUCCUUAAUUGCAUUUGUAAGUACCUCUUAUUACUUACAUGUUUUAAUUUAAUACAAUUUUUUUGAGAGAAAUCCAUGUUAGUGAUUUGAAUUAAGGCAUAAUAUCUUACAUAUCUCCUUGUGAUAUUACUACUUUAGGUUAAAUGUGUUCAUUUAAUUAUAUAGUUAACACGUUUCUUAUUUUUUUAAGAUAUAAAUAAACAAACAUAAAUAGUAAUAAACAUGUUAUAAAUAAAUAAAAGAAACACAUAAUCAAUAAUAGUAUUAAUUAUAUAAUUAAACAAUAGUUGAUUUUAAAUGAUUUACUAAACCAAUUUUAAACUAGCAUGAAGAUAAUUAUGUUUGGAUAUGUUUCAUUUAUAUUAGGUUAAUUUAAUAAACAAAUUUUAAAUUUUAAUAAAGUUUGCAAUUGCUUGUAAAUUUUGUAUAACGAAUUUAGAGUAUUCAAACGUAAAAUGUUGUCACUAAUAUAUAUUUUUAAAAUAAUUAGAUAUUUGAUACUUGAUAUAUAUUAUCUAUUUUAGUACAAUGACAUGACUUAAAUCUAUUUAGAAUACUUAAGUAACCGUAAUUUAUUGUCAACUUUAGACUUCAAGAACUACGAAAUGGAUAAGAGUUGGAUAGAUUUAUCUCUAAAUUUUGCAUUUCAAAAUGCAAGCCAAGAGAACAUGAUUCUUUGCCCAUGUAAGAAGUGUGGCAACAUCAGUUGGCAUAUUUAUGAGGUUGUCUACGAACAUCUAAUUGUUGAUGACUUUACUCAGGGGUAUAAAAAAUAUAUUUUUCAUGGAGAGUGUACACUUCGUAGAACCUCUUCAACGAUUAAUCUGACUUAUCCUCAUAAUGUUCACCAUCAAUCUGUUAGAGAAGAUGACAUGGAAGGUAGGUUGCGGGAUGCAUUUAAUAUGUAAAGUCAUGGUUUGCAAUAAUUUCCACCUGAAAUUAUUGCACCUGAUGAUUGUGAUAUUGGUGGAAAUGCUUUUACCGAAACGGGAAGAAGUGCACCUGAUCAAGAGCCAAUUGGAGAAGCAGUGGAGUUUUACAAGUUACUUAAUAAAAUGAAUGAAGAACUUUAUGAGGGAUUGAAAUUUUCAAGCCUGUCAUUCUGCAUUUGUCUUUUUUACUUAAAAUGUUUGGGAGGGUGGAUCAGAAACUCUUUUACGCUACUGUUAAAGUUUUUGAGAGAUAUGUUUCUAUUUGCAAAAAUCCCUCAUUCAUGCAAAGAUAUGAAGAAACUGAUAAAGGAUUUAGGCCUUGGGUACGACAAAAUUCAUAUUUGUCCAAAUGACUGCACGUUGUAUUGGGGUGAUCGGAAAAACCAACAGUCUUGUCAUGUUUGCAGUAAAUCUCAUUAGAUGAAUAGGAAUGCAGAAGAUGUGAAUGAGGAUGAAGGUGAGGCACAAUCAAGAAAGAAGCCAGUAAAGAUUUUGCGAUAUUUUCUACUAAUACUAAGGCUUCAAAGGCUUUUCAUGUCGUCAAAGAUAGCCGAGUCUAAGAGGUGGCAUCAUGAUGAAUGAACUGAUGAUGAAUUAUUAAGGCAUCCUACGGUUUCUUUAGCUUGGAAAUCGUUUGACAAUAAAUUUCCAAGCUUUGCAAGCGAUCCUUGGAAUGUGAGGCUUGGGCUAGCAUUUGAUGGAUUUAAUCUUUUUAAAAUUAUGAGUAUUUCGUACAGCACUUGGCCUAUAGUACUUGUUCCUUACAAUUUACCUCUGUGGAUUUGCAUAAAACAAUCUUCUUUUACCGUAUCUAUGAUUAUCCCCAGAGAAAAAGGUCCCGAGAAUGAUACUGACAUAAAGGUCCCGAGAAUGAUAUUGACAUUUAUAUGCAGCCACUUAUUAAAGAGUUGAAACAGUUAUGAGUAGGUGUUGAAACAUAUAAUGUCUUGAGAAAGGAGAACUUUUAUUUACGUGCAGCUUUGUUGUGGACUAUUAAUGGUUUCUCGGUUUAUGCUAAUUUAUCUGGUUGGAGUACCAAAGGACGUUAUGCUUGUCCUUGUUGUGCUACGCAAAUAUGUUCGAAGUGGUUAUAUAAUGAGAAAAAGUUCUCUUAUAUGGGGCAUCGUCAGUGGUUAGAUAGAAAUUAUAGAUUUACAUUUCAGAUGACCCUAUUUGAUGGUAUUGAAGAGUCUAGAGAAACUCAUGAGCAGACCAUUGAAUCUGAAAUCUUGUUCAUGUUAAAAGAUAUUAAUUUCAGUUAUGGGAAGAUAAAUGAACCACCCAAUAUGCAAACAAAGAAAAGACCGAGGGAGGCAUAUGUUGGUGAUGUUGACCAGCAGAGUGAUGAUAAAUCUGAUGAAGAGGAUAAUCCUAAUGAGGUGGACUUGUGGAAAAAAAAGUAUUUUUUUAGUUGCCUUAUUAGGAGUAUCACAUUUUGUGACACAAUAUUGAUGUCAUGCAUAUUGAAAAGAACGUUUGCGAGAACAUCAUCGGGAUAAUUCUCAAUGUCGAUAGAAAAUUGAAAGACAAUCUUAAAAGUCAACUUGAUCUAGUUGACAUAGAAAUUUGGCGUGAUAUUCAUCCCCAAUUACUUCUGAAUGGAAAAUAUUGGUUGUCGCCUUCUAUUUUUGCAAUGUCGAAGAAAGAAAAAAAAGUGUUCUGCACAGUGUUGAAGGAUAUAAAGGUCUUAGAUGCUUAUGCAUCAAAUAUAUCUCGAUGUGUGAGUUUUAAAGAUCGAUGACUAUAUUUCCUAAAAUCACAUGAUUAUCACAUCUUGAUACUAGAUUUACUGGCAAUUGCUUUACGCUGUUGUAUGUCAAAAAAAAAGUGGCGUCUUGUAUAAUUGAACUAUCCAAUAUAAUGAAAGCUAUUUGUGGCAAAGUUUUGAUUGUUGAAGAACUUGAGAAAGUACAAGAUCGAGCCGCCUUGAUUUUAUGCAACUUGGAGAAGAUCUUUCCACCUUCGUUCUUCACAAUUAUGAUGCACUUGCUAAUCCAUCUCCUUUAUGAAGCAAAACUUGGUGGACCAAUUUUCUAUCGGUGGAUGUAUCCUAUAGAGAGGUGCUAAUUUAUUUUCAAAGUUUUCAUUCAUUCAUGAAUAUACCUUUAAUUACAACUUCUGAUAAUGUUGUAUAUCGUGUUUAAGUUCCUAUGGAAAUUGAAGUCUUAUUGUCGUAAUAAACAUUAUCCAGAAGGAUCAUUGCUGAAGGUUACGUAGUAGAGGAGUGUAUGACUUUCUGCUCUAGAUAUUUAGAAGAUGUUGAAACAUGACUAAAUAGACCAAGUAGAAAUGCUGGGCUCACUAAUCAUAACUUAGCUGAAACUUAUCUGUUUUGAACUUAUGGGUAGCAAAUCGGUAAAGUUGAAAUUGCUCACUUAGAUGAUAGAUCUUAGGUACAAGCACAUCGAUAUGUUCUUUUUCACAACGAUUCAAUUGAACCAUUACGCAAGUAAGCUUUAGAAUUUGAUAAAUAUUCAUAUUUUUCAUUUGUUUAUUUUCUAACCAAGUAAUCCACUUUUUAACAUAGUGAGUUUAAACAAGUCUUGAGAUCUCAUUCACAUUCACGAAGAUUACAACAUCGAGAGAUUCAUAAGUUAUUCACAUAAUCUUUUUAUAAAUGGUUAAGGCAGACGUUAUGCAACUGAAGCUUUCAAUGACAAAUAAUAAUGUUUCUGCAUAACAUUAUAAUUAAUCAAUUUACUUUCAAUUCAAUAGGUUUGGAGUGGAAAGGACGUCAAUGAAGAAGUUAAAUGGCUUUCCCAAGGUUCGAAUAGAAUAGUAAAAAGAUAUAAUGCCUUCCUCAUUAAUGGAUUCAGGCUCCAUACAAAAUCUCGUGAAAGAUUGAGGAGGAGUCAAAAUUGUGGAAUAGUUAUUAAUUCUUCAAUUACAAGUUAUGCUACUGCUUGGGAUCAGCAAUCCUGUUGAGGGAAAUAUGGAGUACUACAGACUUUUUACGGGCAUUAUUGAGUUGGAUUACUAUGGCAAACAGAAGGUUGUCUUAUUUCGAUGUGAUUGGGCUGAUGUUAGUAUUGAACGUAGAAUUAAAAAAGAUCAAUUUGGUUUUAUGAUGGUAAACUUCUCUCCAUUAAUUCAUACUGGACAAUAAUUGAUAGACGAGCUGUAUGUAUUUUCUUCUCAAUUCAAACAAGUUUUUUACUUAAAAGAUCCAAUUAAUGAGGGUUGGUACGUUGUAUUCCGUAACACCCCUAGAGACUUGUUUGACAUAGGUAAUAGAAGUAGAGAUGACAUCGACGAAAGAUCAGAAACUUUUCCUUUUUUAGAACAGAACUGAAAUGAAACUAUCCCUAGUACUGGUACACAAUUUCAAUGGGUCCGCUGGUGUAACAGCCAAAUUUAAACCCUAGUCGAAACGGUAGUUUAGGGACCACAAAUCUGAGUCAAAAAAAUAUUUUAAUAUUAUUUUUCUUGUUUAAAAUAUGUGAAUUGAUAUGUGUGAAAUUUUCAUAUGAAAAUUUUAUUGUUUGAGUACUCGAUUUAGUAAAAGGAUUAAAUUGCGUAAAAUGCAAAAGUUGCAUUCUAAUUGUUCAAGUGUUUAUUUGCUAUGUUCUACUAAAAUAGAAGUCCCUAUUUAUUAAUUAAACCAUCAUUUUAUGAUAGUGGAGAUUGGUGGUUUGACAUAUAUGAAAUUAUGUAUUAUUAUAAAGGAUAAAAAGGUAAAUGGUAUAUUAAAAUGUAAUUAAUAAAAACAAAACAUAAAAUGGCAAUGCAAAUUGAUCUUUUGGCCAAAUAUUGAUGAAAAAAAAGAAAUCCAUUGAAGCUUCCUUAGUUUCGGCACUUGCAUAAAAUGAUUUAGGUAUGUUUUGUGUUCAGUUUUUGAUAAUCUUUACGUUUUUGAGAUCGUUGCUUCGAAUACUAUCCGACCCAUGCUAGAAUUUUUGAUUUUAAUGAAUGUUUUGAGUUGUUCCAUUGAUGAAUAUUUGUGUUUUGUGAUGUUUGAUGAUGAAAUAUUAAAAAUAUGUUUUAGAUUAACAUGUUUUGUAUUGGAGUUUUUGAUGAUUUUGAGUAAUUAGGACUAAAUUGUAAAAAUAAUAAAUUGAGGGUCUAAAAUGUGAAAUAAAUGAAUCAUAUAGACUAGUAUGAGUAUAAAGAAUAUUCGGCCUAACUAUGUUGUUGUGAGAUUGUGCAUAUUUUGUGUUUUAUGAAAUAUGGACUAAAUUGUGAAAAAUGUGAAAUAUCAGGGGUAAAAGUGUAAUUUACCCAUUUGUGUGUUUUUGGAUGAAUUUUGUUGAAUAUUUGAUUUAAUAAGUUUAAUUUAUAUUAAUUUAGAUCAAGAAAAUAGAAAAUUGAAUUUAGAUCGGAGGAAAAAUAAAGUUGUAGACUAGCCGAUUCGUACCGGUUUUUCAUUGUCCGAGGUAAGUCUAUAAGCAAAUAGAUAUUGUUAAUUUUGAUUAUGAAUGAGUUAAUAUGCUGAUUUGGAAUUUAUAGAUUUAUAGUAAAGUUAGUCGAAUAUGAUUAAGCAUGGAAAUAAUGUAUUUGAGCUAAUUUGGCUGAGUUAUAACAUCUGAAAAUCUGUAUGAACUAUAUGGUAUAUUUGGAAUUUUUGAUAUAUAUAAAUUGUUUAUGAGAUAACUUUUUAAUAGUGAUAUUCGGGCUUUAAGCUUAGCAAGCCUUGUGAUGGUGAAUUAAAUCGAGCUUUAUGCCUAGCAGGCUUAUUGCUGGUGUAUAAAAUCAAACCUUGAGUUUAGCAGGCCUUGUGUUGGUGUAAAAUACAGGCUUAUGCCUAGCAGGCUUUAUGCCGGUGAUUACUUAUAAGUUUAUGCCUAAAAGACUUCAUGCUGAUGUGGUAUUUGAAUACAUUAAACGAGCUAAAUGGCCAGGUAUGAAUUAACUUGUUACCUACUUAAAAUAAGGUAAGUAAGUAACUUGAUUAUUUGUUAUAAAUCAUGUAUGAUGCAAAUGAAAUAUAUAUGUGAUUAUGGUAUGUGUAUUCGGUCUUAUGAUCGAGUGAUAUGAAUAUUAUGAAUUUGGUCUUUGAAUAUGUGUAUACAAGACCAUGUAUAUUCGGCCAUAUGGAUAGUUCAUGUACGUGAUGUUAUAUUACGAUUUUUUAGCUUGUGCAUAUGAGUGUAUGUACAUUUAGUUAUAUAUUGACAGCUUGAUUUUAAAGGUUGGAAGAUAAUUAUUUAUUUUAAUUAUAUGAGCAUUCGGUCAAGGAGGAAUUGUUCAAUGAAAUUAUAUGUUAUAUAUGUAUGGAAUUAAAAGCUUGAAAUUAAAUGUGAUAACAAAUGUAUAAGUUGAAUUAUUUGAUUGAAAUGAUUUAGUAUUGAGAUGAUAUUAUGCAUUAAUUGUUUAAUUUGCUUAAGGCUUACUAAGCUAAGUUAGCUUACUUUGUGUAUUUUUGUUUACCCUGUUUUAUAGAUUUUAGAUUCAAGUUACAAGCUCGGGGAUCGUCAGCAAAGUUCAUCACACUAUCCAGUGCUUCGGUAUUUUUAUAGUUGAACUUGAACUACGGCAUGUAUAGGCUGGAAUAUACUUUUUAAAUGUUGGAUUUUGGUUUGUAUGUAUAUAAGCCAUGCGAAAAUGGCUUGUUUAUUCAUGAUAAAUUUGGUUUUAAGUUUUGAAUAUGCUAUGGACAUGUUUGAUUGUGGUUUUGAUGUUGCGACUAUUAUAUGUGUUUAUAUGUGAACCAUGGUUAAAAUAUUGUUAAUGUUGAUAAAGUUAUGCCAAAGUAUAUGUGAUUGAUAUAAUUGGUUUGAUGUGAAAUUGUGGUUAGAUAUUUUGUUGAAUGAUAUGCUUGAUAUAUAAAUUAUAUAUAUUAGGUAAAUGGC